rnacentral:rRNA from 1 species
UACGAAGGGGGCUAGCGUUGCUCGGAAUCACUGGGCGUAAAGGGUGCGUAGGCGGGUCUUUAAGUCAGGGGUGAAAUCCUGGAGCUCAACGUCCAGAACUGCCUUUGAUACUGAAGAUCUUGAGUCCGGGAGAGGUGAGUGGAACUGCGAGUGUAGAGGUGAAAUUCGUAGAUAUUCGCAAGAACACCAGUGGCGAAGGCGGCUCACUGGCCCGGUACUGACGCUGAGGCACGGAAAGCGUGGGGAGCAACAGG